AUGAGGAUGUCCACUACUGGAUGCUAUGGCGCACUGUGGCCCUCCACGCUGCACACUCGUCUGUUUGCCACUAGAUGAAGAUGUGCCCUGCUGGAGGCUACGUCCAGUCAGUGCUCAGACACAGCCUGGCUUUGCUCUACACCGAGAGUGCCAGCAGCAGUCCCACGUCCACUCACAGCCACGGCCUGCGGCAUCCACCCUGCCUCUGCAGAGCUACCACUCUUCAACAGGCUUCCACACUCUGCCACGCACAUCAGAAGUGAAGCAAUGUCACAACUGGGAUCGAACUCGGGACCUUGCUCUUUUGAGGCAGGCGUCAGAACCCCUGAGCUGAAUCCCCGGCCUUGAUUUUCUCAUCUUUUCCUUCAUCUCGUGUGUGUUUUGAGGUUUGAGGUGUGGAGACUGGCUGUGGCCAAAAUAAAAGAGCAUCACAUAUGCCGGUACUGACCCUUCCCAGUGAUUUCCCCCUCCCCACACAUACUGUGGCUUAGAGCAGUGGCCUGCCUGAAGAAUACUUUGAAGAUACGUGAAGGAAGAAUUUAUGACAUUCAAGAUGACUGUGUGCUGUGAAUAUCUGGGGAUGAAGAUGAACUCCCUGUCUUCUCAGAAAGACUUUAGAAGCCUGUGGAGUGUUCAAGUUUUAAAAAUAUCACAUCACAGAAGAGCAAAGCCCUUAAAGGUGAAGAAUGGUUGCCCAGCAGCGACGCUGAACCCUGAGCUGCCUGCCUGUAUUUGGUAGGUAAAGAAUGUAUCGGUCAGGGAGUGUGGGGGCUUGGUGGGUAGCUCUGAAAUUUCAGAAAGGUGAAGGUGACAGAGACACGGGUUGGUGGAUUGUGCCCACAGAUGGGGAACACUGGCCCACAGAUGGCAUAAAAAUGGCACCUCUCAUGCCAAGGUUACGGUCUCCAAGAAACUUUGGGCAGUAAUUUAGCUUCCCACGUGCUGUCCCUACAGGCAGAGAAGGUGUAGGCCUUAGGGACACGUGGCAGUAACGACUUUCUGUGCCAACUAAUCUCCUGGCGUUGGAAUUUCCCUGUCAGGCUUGCUGAGCUGGCUUAGCCAUGUGGCGCGGCACGCGGCACGCGGCCGUUGGCUGAGGGCCCUGUGAGAAGUGGGGCAAGGUGAAGCUGCUUCUAGGAGCAGGCUGGGACAGGGCNNNNNNNNNNNUUCC
rnacentral:lncRNA from 1 species